GAUGAACGCUAGCGACAGGCCUAACACAUGCAAGUCGAGGGACAGCAUAAAGGUAGCAAUACUUUGGUGGCGACCGGCGCACGGGUGAGUAACACGUAUGCAACCUACCUGUAAGAGGGGAAUAACCCGGAGAAAUUCGGACUAAUACCGCAUAAUACUGAUUAUCUGCAUGGAUUGAUCAGUUAAACAUUUAUGGCUUACAGAUGGGCAUGCGUAUGAUUAGAUAGUUGGUAGGGUAACGGCCUACCAAGUCAACGAUCAUUAGGGGUUCUGAGAGGAAGGUCCCCCACACUGGUACUGAGACACGGACCAGACUCCUACGGGAGGCAGCAGUGAGGAAUAUUGGUCAAUGGGCGAGAGCCUGAACCAGCCAAGUCGCGUGAAGGAAGAAGGUUCUAUGGAUUGUAAACUUCUUUUGUAAGGGAAUAAAAGAGUUACGUGUAACUUAUUGUAUGUACUUUACGAAUAAGGAUCGGCUAACUCCGUGCCAGCAGCCGCGGUAAA
rnacentral:rRNA from 1 species